GACGAACGCUGGCGGCGUGCUUAACACAUGCAAGUCGAACGGAAAGGCCCUGCUUUUGUGGGGUGCUCGAGUGGCGAACGGGUGAGUAACACGUGAGUAACCUGCCCUUGACUUUGGGAUAACUUCAGGAAACUGGGGCUAAUACCGGAUAGGAGCUCCUGCUGCAUGGUGGGGGUUGGAAAGUUUCGGCGGUCGGGGAUGGACUCGCGGCUUAUCAGCUUGUUGGUGGGGUAGUGGCUUACCAAGGCUUUGACGGGUAGCCGGCCUGAGAGGGUGACCGGCCACAUUGGGACUGAGAUACGGCCCAGACUCCUACGGGAGGCAGCAGUGGGGAAUAUUGCACAAUGGGCGGAAGCCUGAUGCAGCAACGCCGCGUGCGGGAUGACAGCCUUCGGGUUGUAAACCGCUUUCGCCUGUGACGAAGCGUGAGUGACGGUAAUGGGUAAAGAAGCACCGGCUAACUACGUG
rnacentral:rRNA from 1 species